UACGAGAGGCCCAAACGUUAUUCGGAUUUACUGGGCUUAAAGAGUUCGUAGGCGGCGCAGAAAGUAGGGUGUGAAAGCCCUCGGCCUAACCGAGGAAUUGCGCUCUAAACUACUGUGCUUGAGGAAUCUAGAGGUGAGCGGAACUGAUGGUGGAGCGGUGAAAUGCGUAGAUAUCUGGAGGAACACCGGUGGCGAAGGCGGCAUCCUGGACCAACACUGACGCUGAGGAGCGAAAGCCAGGGGAGCAAACGGG
rnacentral:rRNA from 1 species